GCCUGGGUGGCUCAGUUGGUUGAGCGUCCGACUUUGGCUCAGGUCAUGAUCUCGCAGUUCGUGGGUUCGAGUCCCACAGCGGGCU
rnacentral:tRNA from 1 species